AUUGAACGCUGGCGGCAGGCCUAACACAUGCAAGUCGAGCGAGUGGCGGACGGGUGAGUUAUGUCUGGGACACUGCCUGAUGGAGGGGGAUCACUACUGGAAGCGGUCGCUAAUACCGCAUUCCCUCGGAUGUGCCCAUAUGGGAUUGGCUAGUAGGUGGGGUAAAGGCUCACCUAGGCGACGAUCCCUAGCUGGUCUGAGAGGAUGAUCAGCCACACUGGAACUGAGACACGGUCCAGACUCCUACGGGAGGCAGCAGUGGGGAAUAUUGCACAAUGGGCGCAAGCCUGAUGCAGCCAUGCCGCGUGUAUGAAGAAGGCCUUCGGGUUGUAAAGUACUUUCAGUGGGGAGGCGUUACCCACAGAAGAAGCACCGGCUAACUCCGUGCCAGCAGCCGCGGUAAUAC
rnacentral:rRNA from 1 species